rnacentral:lncRNA from 1 species
UUUUUUUUUUUUUUUUUUUUUCCUUUUGGCAGCUUCUGGGAUGGCUGGCAGAGAAACUACCUACACUCCGUUCCACUCCUACAGAUCUUAUCCUUUGUGUUCCUCAUCUGUAUUCCUGUCUAGAAGAUCGAAAUGGAGAUGUACGGAAGAAGGCCCAAGAUGCUUUGCCAUUCUUUAUGAUGCAUUUAGGAUAUGAAAAAAUGGCUAAGGCUACUGGGAAACUAAAGGUACUAGUUCUUCUUGAUAAGUAGUGUUAAAAGGUAUUAGGAAAAUACUAGACAUUAAUUUAUUGUAGGCAAAAAAUGCCACCUACCAUGUUUUAGCAGUAUAGUCUGGUGACAUACAGUAGUGCAAAUUAUUACCUUCUAGAAUGGUGGUUACUCAAAUGUGACUUCAUAAUGUAUGUUACUUCUUUUGUGCUUUGUGCUGCCUCCUUUACUUCAUUGGUGAAUCAAAAGUAGGAGCGCAAGCAUUUUAGUAGCAGACUUGUAGUAAUCUCAGUAUGAAUGUAUUGUUUAUGUCAACUUUGAUUUGCUUUGUCCUUAUAGCCAACUUCUAAAGAUCAAGUACUGGCCAUGCUAGAAAAGGCCAAAGCUAACAUGCCAUCCAAGCCUGCUGCACCUGCUAAGGCCAUGUCCAAACCAAUGGGAGGGUCGGCUCCAGCCAAAACCCAGCCUAUACCAGGUAACAACUUUGACAAUGACCUGAAGGAACUCACAGUACAGCCAGCCUGAUAACCUUUUCAUUUCAUUUCCUCAUCUUUUCCUGCAAACAUUUGCCAAGUACUCAUGUCAGAGUAUGUACUAAAGGUGUGAUAAUUAUUUAUUUUUUUAUGCCACAAAGAUGUUGUAAUUCAAAUACUGCUUUCAAGAAUUAUUCCAUGCUGUUUUUAAGGUUUCCACAGCUACUUUCUAUCAUUGAACAUUCUAGUUAGAAGAGGAGUUGGUAACAUCUAGCUUAAUCUACUUUAACAACAUAAAACCAGGGAGGUUAGUGAUUUUUUUUUUUUUACAAGGUAAAAUAGCCAGUACUUGAACCUGCCUGAGAUUCUGCUUAGUAACGUGACUGCAUAACACUGAUAACACUUAGGGCUCAUGCUGAGCUCUUAACCCACCACUGACCUAUAUCUGAACCCCUACAUUUUUUUUAAAAUAAAAAAACUACCUGAUAAUCCUGAUAUUAAAAGUCAGUAAUAGCUUGGCAGUGGUUGUGCAUUCAGCACUUGAGAGGCAAAGACAGGUGGAUCUCUGAGUGUAAGGCCAGCCUGGUCUACAGAGUGAAUUCCAGUACUGCCAGGGCUACAUAGUGAGACCCUGCCUUUGGGUUUGGGGUGGGCAAUAAUAUAUAAUCUAUAGCCACUUGAAUUCUAGACUUCUUGCUUUAUCAAAGCAAUUUUCUUCUGGUUAAUGGUAUAGAACUUGCUAUGAAGUUAGAAAUUUUACAUUAUCUAACACUUGUAUCCAGGUGUAUACUCAGAUUUAAUAUUUAUUGGAAUCUUAUUUAGAAGUUAAUUUCAGUGACAGCCCCUACCUUUAGAGAAGUAUUAAUGUGACAAAAAGUACUGUUACCUGUUUAAAUAUUGUUAAACAAGAGGUAGACUCUUUAUGAACUAAUUUUGUAACAUUGUGUUUAAAAAGAAUUUUUGUUUCAAAAAGAGAUUUGCUUACCUCUGCUUCCUGAAUGCUGGGAUUAAAGGCAUACACCACCACUGCCCAGCUUUUAAAUUCCUUUGAAUCUAUAUAUAACCCUUGACUGUUCUGAAACUCAGUAUGUAGAUCAGACUGACCUAGACCUCAGAGAGAUCUGCCUACCUCUCUGCUCCUCAGUGCUGGGCCUGAAGGUGUGUGCCACCACACCCAGCAAAAUGUCUUUUUCUGAUAUGAAAAGUCAAUGGCCAAUAAUAUACAAUUCAACGCUUUAUUUGUGCCAGGAUGAUAAAUUAGGAUAUAUUUCAUGAAAAAAAUCGAAAGUAGGAGAUAUACAUUAGAAUACAAGAAAAUAUUGCUAGUUAAACUAGAGUAAUAUAUUCCUUAGAGAUAGAAAGGACAAAGCUAAGUGCUAGAUCAAGGAAAUGGUUUAAAAGACACACAGACACGUUUCGUAGAGAAUGUUUACUCAAUAUUUGAGAUCUUAUUUACUUCCAAUUUUAUUUUAUGUAUAUGAGUGCUCUGUCUGCAUAUUUAUGCCUGAAUGCCAGAAGAGGACAUCAGAUCACAUUAAAAAUGGUUGUGAGUCACCUUGUACUUGUUGGGAAUUGAACUCAGGACCUCAAGAAGAGCAGCUAAUGCCCUUAACUACUGAACAGGAAGCUUCCAGCUCACUUCAGCUUGAUGUCUUUAUAUUUUUUGCAUCUGAGUAGUAUGGGGUUUUCAGCCAUAAGGUCUUGCCAUCUGCCUGUUGUGGGUAACCAAGAAUAAUGCCAGUUACCUGUUUGUUUUAUUUUUAGGUUAAUAUCCUUGGCUUCUAGAAUAACUUUACUCACCAGUGCAGAGUACUCAGUCUUGCAUUAUUUGCUUGCUUUUUUUUUUAGUUUAAUUUUCUUACAAAGUAGCAAGUUUCUUUAUAUUUUCCCAUAUAUCAUUUGUUGUCAUCCCCUAUUCCUUCUGUUUGUAGAUCAUAUCUACAUGUGCCACUCUACCCAGACUUUAAAGAGAAAAUAAGACUAGGAAAAAAAAAGUCUUUAAAUUCCUUAUAUAUAGCCGGGCGUGGUGGCCCACGCCUUUAAUCCCAACACUCAGAGGCAGGCGGAUUUCUGAGUUCGAGGCCAGCCUGGUCUACAAAGUGAGUUCCAGGACAGCCAGGACUACACAGAGAAACCCUGUCUCGAAAAACCAAAAAAACAACAACAAAAAAAUUCCUUAUAUAUUGAAAAAUUUAAGACUACAGAAGGUUUUUUUUUAAAUCAUCAUUAUAUGUUUAAUGUAUCUAGGAUAAAUGAUAUUAAUUUAACAUAGUGUAUGCUUUUUCCCUCCCUCAAAGCACCUGUUGAAGAUUCUGUUUCCAGUACCAUAGAAGCUAAGCCUGAUCUGAAAAAGGCUAAAGCUCCAGGCGUUUCUUCCAAAGCAAAGGUGUGUUAAUACUCAUAUUUAUGUAGUUCUUUUGUCUUAAUUUUCUAUACUGAGUCACUCAGUUAGAGAAGGCCAUAGAUGUAUGAGAGAAUAUCACUGCUUCUGAUAAUAUCAAUUUAAGUAUUCAUUCAGCUUUCUGUGGCUUUAGUUUGUUUGUUUGGUUUCUUCUUCUUCUUUUUUUUUUUUCCUACACAAGAUGUGCUGAGACACAAAACUUGUUUUCAGAUCCCAAAAUAGUCAUUCUGUUUCCACAAGAUGUUGUCGUGGAGAUCUUGAGUAUUUUCCCUCAUGAAAAGAAAAGGUGUCUAACAUGGUGGCAAACGCAUUUAAUCCACUGGGUAUGCAGAGGUAGACAGAUCUUUGCAAGUUUGAGGCUAGCCUGGUCUUACAUGGUGAGAUCCUGUCUCAAAAAUAAAGGAAAAAAAGCAUUUGCACCGUCAGUUCUGGGAAAAUCAACACUUUAGAAUGGUCUGUAUUUGACGAUAAUCACCUUCCUUCACAUGGCUCAAUUAGGUCAUCAGGCAUUAAGGUACUCCCAAGUGGUUGGAUUUUUUGUAGUUUUUAUAGAAUUGGAUCAUUGGAUUAACAGUUCAGAGCACUUGUCACUCAUGCAAAGAACCUGACCUCAAUUUCCAGCACUCUUAUGUUGGCUGGUAACCACCUGUAGCUCCUGUCCUAGGGUUCCAGUGCCCUCUGCUGAUGUCUGCUGGUACCAGAUGUAUGGGACGCACAUGCACAUGAAGACAUGCAAGCAAAAAU